rnacentral:rRNA from 1 species
GGAAUCUUGGACAAUGGGCGCAAGCCUGAUCCAGCCAUGCCGCGUGAGUGAUGAAGGCCUUAGGGUUGUAAAACUCUUUCGUCGGGGACGAUAAUGACGGUACCCGAAGAAGAAGCUCCGGCUAACUUCGUGCCAGCAGCCGCGGUAAUACGAAGGGGGCUAGCGUUGUUCGGAUUUACUGGGCGUAAAGCGCGUGUAGGCGGGCUGGUAAGUUGGGGGUGAAAUCCCGAGGCUCAACCUCGGAACUGCCUCCAAAACUGUCAGCCUGGAGCAAGAUAGAGGCGAGUGGAAUUGCGAGUGUAGAGGUGAAAUUCGUAGAUAUUCGCAGGAACACCAGUGGCGAAGGCGACUCGCUGGAUCUUUGCUGACGCUGAGACGCGAAAGCGUGGGGAGCAAACAGGAUUAGAUACCCUGGUAGUCCACGCUGUAAACGAUGAGAGCUAGUUGUCGGCACGCAUGCGUGUCGGUGACGC